rnacentral:rRNA from 1 species
UGAGGAAUAUUGGGCAAUGCCCGAAAGGGUGACACAGCAACGCCGCGUGGAGGAUGAAGGUCGUAAGAUUGUAAACUCCUGUUAGAGGGGAAGAAUAACUAAGUUUGGAGCUUAGUAUGACUGUACCCUCAGAGAAAGCCCCGGCUAACUACGUGCCAGCAGCCGCGGUAAUACGUAGGGGGCAAGCGUUGUCCGGAUUUACUGGGUGUAAAGGGCGCGCAGGCGGAAUGGAAAGUCAGUGGUGAAAUCCUACAGCUUAACUGUAGAACUGCCUUUGAUACUUUCAUUCUUGAGUUCGGGAGAGAGAGACGGAAUUCCAGGUGUAGUGGUGAAAUACGUAGAUAUCUGGAAGAACACCAGUUGCGAAGGCGGUCUCUUGGUCCGAUACUGACGCUGAGGCGCGAAAGCGUGGGGAGCAAAC